AGCGAACGCUGGCGGCAGGCCUAACACAUGCAAGUCGAACGGACCCUUCGGGGUCAGUGGCGGACGGGUGAGUAACACGUGGGAACGUGCCCUUUGGUUCGGAAUAGCUCCUGGAAACGGGUGGUAAUGCCGAAUGUGCCCUUCGGGGGAAAGAUUUAUCGCCAUUGGAGCGGCCCGCGUCUGAUUAGCUAGUUGGCAGUGUAACGGACUACCAAGGCGACGAUCAGUAGCUGGUCUGAGAGGAUGAUCAGCCACAUUGGGACUGAGACACGGCCCAAACGCCUACGGGAGGCAGCAGUGGGGAAUCUUGCGGAAUGGGGGAAAGCCUGACGCAGCCAUGCCGCGUGAAUGAUGAAGGUCUGAGGGUUGUAAAAUUCUUUCACCGGGGACGAUAAUGACGGUACCCGGAGAAGAAGCCCCGGCUAACUUCGUGCCAGCCGCCGCCGUAA
rnacentral:rRNA from 1 species